rnacentral:lncRNA from 1 species
GGCAGUGGCAGCUCGCUUGGGGACCCGAACACGGUGCUCACCCGGCACAUGGAGCGACAGCCUAGACCCAGCGGCCGCUUCGAUCGCUGCCCCCUGCGCCCCGUGCGGCCAUCCCAGCGCUGGGGUAGAAGCAACGCAGCCGUGGGCAACAAUUUUUAAGAAGAGGUGGUUCAUGUUAGAAGGGACAAGAGGGUACUGGACACCAGGAGUCGUGGUGACUAUCUGACUUUGAACACGCUAUUCAGCCUCUCUGAACCCCAAUUCCCUCGUCUAUUAAGAUGAAAUGGGUGUACUAGAACGUCUGUAAGUUUGUUUCCAGUGCUGAAUGAAGUUCUCUGAGUGGUCUUACAAAUACAGCAUCUUAAGAAUGUGAAGGAAAUUUGAGAAGUCAUUUUAUUCAGUCACCUGUCUUUGGAAAAUAAACUCUCCUAUAGUGCUUACUAUUUAACAUGCUCUACUAUAGUGUUUGCUGUGGGCAGUGUUUUAAAUUCAGCAAGGUGCCAGAGCCAGAUUCUGCUCUUGAGAGCCAAUUCUGUGUACCUGUGUUCACCUCUCCAUGCGAUGAUACCAUGUUGGUAGGUUGGAAUCCACUGUGGAGGAAGUGGUUACAAUAUACAAGUUGAAAAACACUGCAUGUCAAGAUUAUUUUCUGCUUCCGAGAAACAUCUACCAGCACAGCACCAGUUUCAGUACUUUAUGAACAUUAACUUAUUUAAUUCUCACAACCACUCAGUCUUAUAAAAAAAGGAAACCGAAUCAGAGAAACUAAGUAAUUUGACCAAGCUAACAAAGCUGGCAUACUAGUAACCUAAAUGAACCAACUAACAAAAAGUCUUGAUGGCCUUCCACUACAAAUAUUUAUUUCUUCUUCGUGCUAGACAUCCUUCAUAGUGGGACUAUGACUCUAAUCCAUGUUGUUCCACAAACAGAACAGCAGCUUCCAUCAGGAACAUGAUGUUCUCAUGGUAAAAGAUAAAAUGAUCUAUGGCUGAACAUGCAGUGGCUCUUAGCAUUUCUGUUCAGAUAUUAAAACAUCUUCUUUGUCUAUUUGUUUGUUUUUACAGGCACACCUGCAGCACAUAGACGUUCCCGGGCUAUUGGAGCUGCAGCUGCCGGCCUACGCCACCACCAUGGCAACACCAGAUCCAAGCCACAUCUGCGACCUGCGCUGCAGCUUGUAACAAUGUCGAAUCCUUAACCCAACUAGGGAGGGCAGGGAUCAAACUCCCAUCCUCACAGAGACAAUGCUGGGUUCUAAAGCCUCUGAGCCACAAGAACUCCAAAAUGUUUCCUCGUUCACAUUAGCCACGGCAUGUCACAUGGCCAAAACCCUAUGAGCCAGUCUGAUGGGGGAGGGUAAACCUCUCACGGGGAGGAAGGAGAGAACAUUUGGGAACAGUAAUUUAAAAGAUAACAGCUUAGCUGGGUGAUAGAAUGGGAAUUUGAACCCGAGAAAUCUGCCAUAUUCUAAAAGCAGGCCAUUCUGCCUGUUACAGCUCACACACCUCUAUUUCUCACCUAUUUUCCAUAAUAGGGUUUGCUAUUUAGUAACUCUUUAAGGGAAUUCUUCCCUGUGACUCCUAAAAAGAAAAUAAUGUUGAUUUAGGAAACACAAGAACUUCGGAGUGAAUCUGACAUACUUGGUUUUGCCACUAAUAACUCUGCAAUUUCAACCCUUAUACUCCUUUCCCUCUACUCCCUUUCACUGAGAAGCAAAGACCACUUAUUUCCCUUAACCUUAUUACAGAUGUUUUCAUGUGAUUAAUUCAUCAAUAAAUUUGUAACACAAACAAUGUUUUUUUUAGCAUUGAGCUUCCUGACAUAUGUAAGGCAGAGAGGCAUAUGAAUAUAUCUUUCUGCCAUCAAUGAGUUUAUAAACUUCUUGGAGAGACUGUCAUGAAAUAAAAACUAACAGUAACUCUUUUGAAGAUUCAGAAAGCAUAUGCAAUUAAGUACUAAUAAAUGGACUUUAAAUCCAUAAGAAUGCUUGACUAACCUAGUUAAUGUCCCUGAACUAUCAUUUCCUGCUCUGUAAAAUGGUGAUAACAUUACAGUAUUGCUAUAAAGCUUCAAUGAGAUAAUGUAUUUCAAAAUAUCUGUCACUCUUCUCUAGUUUGUGCUGAAUGCUCGGUAACUUCAAGGAGAUUUAAGUUUUUUGACUUUUUUUUCCCAAUAAAAAUCAGCUGGAAAGAAUGACUAAACCUAUGAGAUCUUCCCAAUAGGCAUAAUUUCUUUAUACUAAACUCUUUAACCUUUCUUCACAAAUUUUACUCUACCAAAGACUCCUCAGGCUAUUUCUCAGGUCUCCCAUGUCCAUUUUACUGAGGAACACACAACUGUGGUGAGGGUUUGCAUUAGAGACAGCAGGACCUGUAAAAACGGACUCUAAAAUCCAUCAUGCUUUCCCCCUGAUUUUUGUCUUCUCUCUAAUUUCUGAGUGGGCCAGUCAUACUUAGAGAUUGUUGACCUUUAUUUGAAUCAUACUUAACCGUGUUUACUUAUCUUCACCGGGAAUAAUUUCAUUUGUAGUUUGGAAUGAUUGACUCAACUGAAUGAAUAAAGAACAAGAAAAUGUAUGAGUUAGGCGAGGCUUUCCAUAGCACCUACAAAGGUCCCAGGUGAACCCGGGAAGAUCUUUGUCUCCUAAUUCAGCCCCCCAGCUUGCUAGUUGAAAGGAUACAAUCUUUAUUGAGGAAAUGUCAGCCCACUGAUUCAGAAUCAAUUCUGGCAUUUUGUUUUAGCAGCAAAUAUUUUGAAAUAAUAAUUGUCCUUAGUUGUAGUAAGGUAAAAGGCACAAUUUUGCCUUUAAGACAUCUCAUAAUAUUCACUUUCACCCUAGUGCCAUUUUGAAAAAGCAACUCUAAUAAAAUAUCACCCUCUGUUCUCCCUGAGUGAAGUUCCUCAGUACAGUAGGAAAAAUCAACUGAACAGGUCUUAUUGUUGAUCAAAUUUGAUUUCACUGUUGCAGGAAAAAAGUUUGGGUCUUGGGUUCCAAGCUUACCUUUUAUACUUACUUUGUAAUUCUGAGCUAAUCAGUUAGUCUCUUUGGCAGUUAAGUUUCUUAUCCAUUAAAAAAGAGGAGGGGUUGUUGAAUAAUAACACUUGUAUUACAGGGUUCCUUUGAGGAUUAAUUAAAAUAUCAUGUGUGAAAGUAUC